UACGUAGGGUGCGAGCGUUGUCCGGAAUUAUUGGGCGUAAAGAGCUCGUAGGCGGUGUGUCGCGUCGGUCGUGAAAACUUGGGGCUUAACCCUGAGCUUGCGGUCGAUACGGGCAUCACUGGAGUCGGCAGGGGAGACUGGAAUUCCUGGUGUAGCGGUGAAAUGCGCAGAUAUCAGGAGGAACACCGGUGGCGAAGGCGGGUCUCUGGGCCGAUACUGACGCUGAGGAGCGAAAGCGUGGGGAGCAAACAGG
rnacentral:rRNA from 1 species